AGAGUUUGAUUCUGGCUCAGAAUCAACGCUGGCGGCGCGCUUAACACAUGCAAGUCGAACGAGAAAGGGGAGCAAUCCCUGAGUACAGUGGCGUACGGGUGAGUAACACGUGGAUCAUCUACCUCUUAGUGGGGAAUAACCCUGGGAAACCGGAGCUAAUACCGCAUAAGCUCGAGAGAGGAAAGUCGAAAGACGCUGAGAGAGGAGUCCGCGGCCGAUUAGCUAGUUGGUGAGGUAAGAGCUCAUCAAGGCAACGAUCGGUAGCCGGCCUGAGAGGGCACACGGCCACACUGGCACUGAAACACGGGCCAGACUCCUACGGGAGGCAGCAGUGGGGAAUCUUGCACAAUGGGGGAAACCCUGAUGCAGCGACGCCGCGUGAGCGAUGAAGCCCUUCGGGGUGUAAAGCUCUUUCGGCAGGGAAGAUUAUGACGGUACCUGCAGAAGCAGCUGCGGCUAACUACGUGCCAGCAGCCGCGGUAAUACGUAGGCAGCGAGCGUUGUUCGGAGUUACUGGGCGUAAAGGGUGUGUAGGCGGUUGUUUAAGUUUGGUGUGAAAUCUCCCGGCUCAACUGGGAGGGUGCGCCGAAUACUGAAUGACUUCGAGUGCGGGAGAGGAAAGUGGAAUUCCUGGUGUAGCGGUGAAAUGCGUAGAUAUCAGGAGGAACACCGGUGGUGUAGACGGCUUUCUGGACCGUAACUGACGCUGAGACACGAAAGCGUGGGUAGCAAACAGGAUUAGAUACCCUGGUAGUCCACGCCCUAAACGAUGCAUAUUUGGUGUGGGCAGUUCAUUCUGUCCGUGCCGGAGCUAACGCGUUAAAUAUGCCGCCUGGGGAGUACAGUCGCAAGGCUGAAACUCAAAGGAAUUGACGG
rnacentral:rRNA from 1 species